rnacentral:pre_miRNA from 1 species
AAUAAGUGCAGCCGUGGAUAUCCGUGUCCAACGUUUAACCGUCCGUCUUAUUUGAAAAAUUAAUGAAAAAAUUAGUCACACAUAAAGUACUAUUUAUGUUUUAUCAUCUAAUAGCAAUAAAAAUACUAAUCAUAAAAAAAUUUCAAAUAAGACGGACAGUCAAACGUUGAACGUGAAUAGUGCAAAACCGCACUUAUU